CUAGCCAGGGACCAGAUGGCAGGGAACUCAGGGAGAAGUCAUGGGUUAGGGGGGCUUUGCUAAAUGGGAUGUUUACUAGAGUGCAUUCCUCUCAUCAUAUCGCCAUAUCGAGGCGCCACCGGCCCCGAGCACAUUUGGAAAUUACAAUCUCAUUACAAAAAGCAACGGUUUGUUUUCUGCCUGCAAAACUACUGGCAGGAACUACAAUAACUACAGGCCUUCAUCUGCAAACCCCAGUCCUGAUCUAAGCCCAGCAUCAUUUCUGACCUCUCUAACCUGCACCAUCAGAGCCAGUCCCAGGUACAUGGUUCUCCAGAACGGCUCUUUAAAACAUUGCAUCCUCUCUGGGAAACGAACAAGGGGUAGUGGAAAGGGAGAGCUCUGGUAAAUGGAAGGCAGCCCGGAACUCAACCCCGCUGGGAGCAGGGCAGAUCCCCACUUCUCCCAUGGGGACCAGGGGAGGAGACCCAGGGCAGAUUACCAGAUCUCUCUACUGAAUAAACUAGUAAGCAGAGGGCCCCGGUGUCCCUGAAAUCACAGGUAAAGAGAUAUUGAUGGCCUACCAAUACGGAAGCACUCCACAAGAACAACUUGGCAGAGGUCCGUCCACAGAUGAAACUCUUAAGAUGAAAAGCCGAUGGAAAACCUUGCAGAGGUGGCUAGCAGCUGAUCCCACAUGAACCCAUGGCUCAAGCUCAGCAUCAUCCCCCAGGAGGGGCCAACCAGCCUUCCUGAUGUGAGAACACAGAAGAACUGUCUAAAAAACAUUCUAGAGGGGGGUGAGGGGGAACUCAGAAGGUGAUCCAGCCUUACUUCUAUUUCAUGCAAAAUACAAGGGGACCGAAGAACACGCUAGAUGAAAUUCAAAUGAAGCAGACAGAACGUGGGGGCACUCUAGAGCCCAACAGAUGAGUGUCUUUGACAAGGAAGGGCAUCAGAAAGUGGGGAGGCAUAGGGCUGGCUGUCGAUGAAAACAGACAUCAGGGGCCUAACGGACAACUACACACCAAAACCAUGCUGGGAUCCUAUUCCAACCGAACAUUCUGUAAACCCUCAGGGAUCUCUGAGUACGGACUUGGUAUUAGGUGAUACCAAGGAAGUGUUCACUUUGUUCAGGGGGACGCUGGCAUUGAGGUGAUGUAGGAACUGGAGCUUAUUCUUCUGCACACGGAAGGCAAAUCGACGUGAGAUCUAGGAUCUGCUUCCAAAGACUUAUGCCAAAAGCCCUUGCUGACUACAGAAUCUGGUGAUGGGCAAAAGGGGGUGAUAGGGAUUCAUCACGCUACUCUCGCUACACACGUAUGUUUGAAAUUCCCCAGGAUUACAAAAUAAAAAUAAAACUCUA